rnacentral:rRNA from 1 species
GAUGAACGCUGGCGGCGUGCCUAAUACAUGCGAGUCGAGCGAACAGAUAAGGAGCUUGCUCCUUUGACGUUAGCGGCGGACGGGUGAGUAACACGUGGAUAACCUACCUAUAAGACUGGGAUAACUUCGGGAAACCGGAGCUAAUACCGGAUAACAUAUUGAACCGCAUGGUUCAAUAGUGAAAGGCGGCUUUGCUGCCACUUAUAGAUGGAUCCGCGCCGUAUUAGCUAGUUGGUAAGGUAACGGCUUACCAAGGCAACGAUACGUAGCCGACCUGAGAGGGUGAUCGGCCACACUGGAACUGAGACACGGUCCAGACUCCUACGGGAGGCAGCAGUAGGGAAUCUUCCGCAAUGGGCGAAAGCCUGACGGAGCAACGCCGCGUGAGUGAUGAAGGUCUUCGGAUCGUAAAACUCUGUUAUCAGGGAAGAACAAAUGUGUAAGUAACUGUGCACAUCUUGACGGUACCUGAUCAGAAAGCCACGGCUAACUACGUG